AGCUUGUGUCACCUUAUCUGCUCUAUCUCAGCUGUGCCUUUCGUUUCUCCAUCUGGCAGAGGAGGAGCUGGGAGCUGCAGCAGGUGUGGUUCAUGAGUUCUGCAGCUUGUUGUGCCAUUACGGUGGGUAAGCCCCGUGGUAGCUAUUAGCAAUCACAUAUAUAAUACACCAGGUCUGGAAGAUGUUUAGCAGUUAAGGUAGUUUGUGAGAAGGGUGCUUAUGUGCUCUGAGUCCUUGGAGCUUGCUGGGGUACCCACUGGGGUCUUCCUAUUCAGUGCUGACCCAAGAUGGAUGACAGCAAGCCAAGUGAGAUGCUUCAAGAGGGAGCAGUGGAGUGAAGGGUUGAGUGCAUGCUGCUCCUUCAGCUCCACAGCUGCCACCGUUUGCAGCACCAAGCUAUAG
rnacentral:lncRNA from 1 species